rnacentral:rRNA from 1 species
UGAGGGGGUAAAUUAAUAAAAUAAUAUAUAAUAAAAAAAUUUUUAUAUUAAAAUAUUUUAUGGGGGUUAAAGUAUUUUUGAUAGAAAAAAUAAAUUUAUUUAUAGUUAAUUAGUAUUGUAAGAGAAAUUUUGAAAAAAAAUGAAAAUAAAUUAAUUAAAAAGUAAUUUUUAUUUAAUGUAUCUUGUGUAUCAGAGUUUAUUAAUAAUUUUUUAUUUAAUUUAAAUUUUUCGAAUUUAAAAGAGUUAAUUAAUUAAAAAAUAUAUUGUAGAAAAAAUAUUUUAAAUAAUUAAUUAGAAAUGAAAUGUUAAUCGUUUUUAAAUAUAUCUAAUUUUUUUAGAAAAAAAUUUAAUUUUUUAAUUUAUUUAAUUAAAAAUUUAUUAAAAUUUAUAAUUUUUAAUUUAUUUAAAUAAAAUAUUUUAGGGGAUAAGCUUUAAAAUAAAAUAUUAUAAUAAUUAAAAUAAAAAUUAAAAUUUUUAAAAUUUAUAUUUUUUAUAAAUUUUAAUUUAUUAUAAAUAAUUUUAUAAUAAAAAAAAUUUUAAAUUAAAUUUAAUUUUUUAUAAAAAAAAUUAUUUUAAUAAAAAUUAUAAAAUUAUAAUGAUAAAAUUAGUAUAUUAAGUAAAAAUGAAAUAAAAUUAAUAAUAAUUUAAUAAAAAGAAUUCGGCAAAAAUUUAUAUUCACCUGUUUAACAAAAACAUGUCUUUUUGAUAAUAAUUUAAAGUCUAAUCUGCCCACUGAUGAUAUAUUAAAGGGCUGCAGUAUAUUGACUGUACAAAGGUAGCAUAAUCAAUAGUCUCUUAAUUAGUGACUUGUAUGAAUGAUUGGAUGAAAUAUAAACUGUUUCUUAUUAAUUUAAUAAAAUUUAAUUUUUUAGUUAAAAAGUUAAAAUAUUUUUAAAAGACGAGAAGACCCUAUAGAGUUUAAUAAAUUUAUUUAUUAAAAUUAUUUAUAAUUGAAAUAAAUAAUAAUUAAUGAAUUUAUUUUGUUGGGGUGAUAAAAAAAUUAAAAAAACUUUUUUUAUAGUUAAACAUAAAUAAAUGAAUUUAUUGAUCCAUUAUAUUUGUUGAUUAAAAGAUAAAAUUACCUUAGGGAUAACAGCGUAAUUUUUUUUUUUAGUUCAUAUAAAAAAAAAAGUUUGCGACCUCGAUGUUGGAUUAAGAUAAAAUUUAAAUGCAAAAGUUUAAAAUUUUGAUCUGUUCGAUCAUUAAAAUCUUACAUGAUCUGAGUUCAAACCGGUGUAAGCCAGGUUGGUUUCUAUCUUUAAAAAAAAAUAAAAUAUUUUAGUACGAAAGGAUCAAAUAUUUAAAAUAUUUUUAUUUAAUUGAAUUUUAUUAAUU